rnacentral:rRNA from 1 species
UAGGGAAUCUUCCGCAAUGGACGAAAGUCUGACGGAGCAACGCCGCGUGCGCGAUGAAGGUUUUCGGAUCGUAAACCUCUGUUGUUAGGGACGAACAAGAGCUAGACUCACUGAUUGCAACUUGUCGAUUCCUAACCAGCACGCCACGGCUAACUACGUGCCAGAACCCGCGCUAAUACGCAGGUGGCAAGCGAUGUCCGGACUUCUUGGGCGUCACUGGCUCGCAGGCGGGUUUCUUAAUCUGACGGG